rnacentral:rRNA from 1 species
AUGGCCUACCAGCUAGACCUACCCAAAGAACUGUCAGACGUCCACGACGUGUUCCACGUCUCACAGUUGAGGAAAUGUGUAAGCAACCCAGAAAAGCAUGUAUCUCACGAGAACAUUGACAUGCAACUAGACCUCGCCUACGCGGAACAUCUAAUAAAAAUAUUGGAGGAAUCCGAAAGGAGGACCCGUUAG